UAAGAGGCUUUUAUAAAAGCCAUUUUUAAAUGUAUUGAGUUAUCAU
rfam:Physcomitrella patens subsp. patens PHYPAscaffold_2 genomic scaffold, whole genome shotgun sequence.